rnacentral:misc_RNA from 1 species
GAUGAAGAACGCAGCGAAAUGCGAUACGUAAUGUGAAUUGCAGAAUUCAGUGAAUCAUCGAAUCUUUGAACGCAUAUUGCGCUCUUUGGUAUUCCGAAGAGCAUGCUUGUUUGAGUAUCAGUAAACACCUCAACCUCUUCUUGAUUUUUCAAAAGGAGGGUGGACUUGAGCUAUCCCAACAACCUUUACCGGUCGGCGGGCGGCUUGAAAUGCAGGUGCAGCUGGACUUUUAUCUGAGCUAAAAGCAUAUCUAUUUAGUCCUCGUCAAACACGAUUAUUACUUUUGCUGCAGCUAACAUAAAGGAUAAUUGUCCUCUUUGCUGACUGAUGCAGGAUUUUACGACACUUUAUGUGUUGUUCAACUCGAUCUCAAAUCAAGUAAGACUACCCGCUGAACUUAAGCAUAUCAAUAAGCGGAGGA